GUGACAUAAGAAAAACCACCUAGACAAAGGCAGAUUCCAAGGCCAAUGUCAGGCUGAUAAACAGCCUGUCAAGAGAUGGUAACUGAACUGUGGACAUAAAGUAUGUCACAGGAAUCUCAACUUGCUUAAGACAGCAAAACUAUUCCCAUGUCACUUCAGCUGCCAAUGUCCCUAACUCCAAUGGCCAACACUGAAGAUUUUUAUCUGUGGACUACUUCCAAUUAGUUGUUUCCUAAUAAAGGCUAAUGGCUUAUUA